UGUUUAUCGGUAGCAAGUCAACAGGCACUGAUCCCAGCUCCUUGAACUCGGAGGAAACUUUGGAUCCACGCUUUGUUUCUGGGAAUAUUGUGAUCUGUGACAGUUGAAUAAGCCUAACGUGCAGAAGGGACUGGCGGUGAAAGAUGGAGGAGGAAGAGGAGGACGAGUAGGUAUGAUUUUGCCAAACACAGCUGCAUCGCUUAAGAAUGCGGAGUUUCAUUUCUAUAUAGGCCAAUCGUGAGGUGCAAAACCAAAGCAUGUUGCAGCCCCAAACAUCAUCAUGAAAGCUCUGAAGCGGAACUUCGUGUUCUUGGCAAAAUCACAGGUAAGAGUUGCCAAUCAAUAUUUCAGGUGUGUUCUGUUUCUUUAUAUUGCAUUUUUUGUUUUUCUUUAUGUCUACUCGAUUGAAAAAAGUAGUAUUUCGAAUUUUCAGUCAGUGGCAGGUUUCACUCUACAGAGGAAGAAUGAUGCCGUCAACAAAUAAGCAAAAUAUACCUGUACGUGUAUACUGGUAGCAAUUCACCAAGCCCUGAUCCCAUUUCCUUGUUUUGGAAGCAACUUUGAAUUGCUGUGUUGUUGCCAGG
rnacentral:lncRNA from 1 species